rnacentral:rRNA from 1 species
UAAAUGACAUCAACGGAGAGGUGGAUUCGUAGUGAAGAAGUGGAAUUUGUAGAGAUUAAAAGGACUGCCAAGGCAAAAGCAAUUGUCUGAAUCAACAGCCGAUGCUGAGGUGCGAAAGCGUAAUGAGCAAGCGGCGUUAGAGACC